rnacentral:rRNA from 1 species
CCUACGGGGGGCUGCAGUGGGGAAUUUUGGACAAUGGGCGCAAGCCUGAUCCAGCAAUGCCGCGUGCAGGAUGAAGGCCUUCGGGUUGUAAACUGCUUUUGUACGGAACGAAAAAGUCUGCCCUAAUACGGUGGGCCCAUGACGGUACCGUAAGAAUAAGCACCGGCUAACUACGUGCCAGCAGCCGCGGUAAUACGUAGGGUGCGAGCGUUAAUCGGAAUUACUGGGCGUAAAGCGUGCGCAGGCGGUUAUAUAAGUCAGAUGUGAAAUCCCCGGGCUCAACCUGGGACCUGCAUUUGAGACUGUAUAGCUAGAGUACGGUAGAGGGGGAUGGAAUUCCGCGUGUAGCAGUGAAAUGCGUAGAUAUGCGGAGGAACACCGAUGGCGAAGGCAAUCCCCUGGACCUGUACUGACGCUCAUGCACGAAAGCGUGGGGAGCAAACAGGAUUAGAUACCCAAGUAGUC